UACGUAGGGGGCAAGCGUUAUCCGGAAUCAUUGGGCGUAAAGCGCGUGUAGGCGGUUCCGUAAGUCCGCUCUGAAAGCCCAGGGCUCAACCCUGGGAGGCGGGUGGAUACUACGGAACUGGAGUACGGAAGAGGAGAUUGGAAUUCCUGGUGUAGCGGUGAAAAUGCGCAGAUAUCAGGAGGAACACCAACAGCGAAGGCAGAUCUCUGGGACGUUACUGACGCUGAGACGCGAAAGCGUGGGGGAGCAAAACAGG
rnacentral:rRNA from 1 species